UACGGAGGAUCCGAGCGUUAUCCGGAUUUAUUGGGUUUAAAGGGUGCGUAGGCGGCCUAUUAAGUCAGGGGUGAAAGACGGCAGCUUAACUGUCGCAGUGCCUUUGAUACUGAUGGGCUUGAAUGCGGAUGAGGUAGGCGGAAUGAGACAAGUAGCGGUGAAAUGCAUAGAUAUGUCUCAGAACUCCGAUUGCGAAGGCAGCUUACUAAGCCGUGAUUGACGCUGAUGCACGAAAGCGUGGGGAUCAAACAGG
rnacentral:rRNA from 1 species